rnacentral:rRNA from 1 species
CAGCCGCCGCGGUAAUACCAGCCCCGCGAGUGGUCGGGACGGUUAUUGGGCCUAAAGCGCCCGUAGCCGGCCCGGCAAGUCCCUCCUUAAAGCCUCGGGCCCAACCCGAGGACGGGGGGGAUACUGCCGGGCUAGGGGGCGGGAGAGGCCGGCGGUACUCCCGGGGUAGGGGCGAAAUCCGUUAAUCCCGGGAGGACCACCAGUGGCGAAGGCGGCCGGCUGGAACGCGCCCGACGGUGAGGGGCGAAAGCCGGGGGAGCGAACCGGAUUAGAUACCCGGGUAGUCCUGGCUGUAAAGGAUGCGGGCUAGGUGUCGGGUGAGCCGCGAGCUCGCCCGGUGCCGUAGGGAAGCCGUUAAGCCCGCCGCCUGGGGAGUACGGCCGCAAGGCUGAAACUUAAAGGAAUUGGCGGG